rnacentral:lncRNA from 1 species
CCCAUAGUUCUUACUGUCAUCUUCAAAAUAAUUCCCGUGGAGAAAUAAUUAGUAUGAUAAAGACAGAAUUUCUGCUUGUUUUGCAAUCACAUAUUCUUGAUAACGCCUCCUUUUUCUUUUUUUUUUCUUUUUUUUUUCUUUUUUUUUUUUAAUCUUUUUGUAUUUCCACUCAAAAAUGCUUUGUUGAAUUAUCUUUCAAAAGAGAGGAAUUAACUCGGGAAAAUGGGAAGUCAGAAGGUUUUCCAGGGCUGGGACAGAGAGUCCAUUAUGAAUGUCUGCAGGGCCUUCCUGACGAGUGUGCAGGCUGGAGAAUUUCAUCCUUAUCUAAACUGUUUCCAGAUUGACAAGGGUAUCUUGACAUUUCCUGUAAGGACCUGGCCACAGCCUAGAUCCAGCUUCCUGUGUGGCUUCAUGCCAUCAGCAGCUCAUUUGGAUGCCUUGGAUCAUUCAGGAGAGGCACACUAUUCUCCGCAGAAGUACUACUACAUGCAGGAUAUAGUUGUGGCGCUCCAAAGCGUACCUCAGGAAUUUCCAGGCAGCUGUUCUCAGGGGAAGCUGAUGUGCUCUGGAAUUCUUGUCCCAACCAGACAUGUACCCAAAAUGCCUAGGUUAGGAGUCAAGAUCUCCCAAGAGCUCUGUAUAAGCUCUGAUGAGAAACAGCAGAUCUAUGGGUGACUCAGCAUAGACACAGAAUAAAUUACUUCUCUCCUUGCUAAACAGCUGGCUGCAUGGUGAUGUCCCCUUGAGAUGGGAUGACUCUCAAGGAUACUCCUCGAGGUUGAGAGACCCCUUAACCAACUGCAGACCUUUG